rnacentral:pre_miRNA from 1 species
AGUGCAGUUGCUGGUUGAAUUAGAUGUAGGUUUAGUUUUUAAAGAAUCCAUCAACAUAUUUUCUAGAGUGGCUGUAUUAUUUUAUAUUCCCACCAGCAAU